rnacentral:lncRNA from 1 species
AUAUUUUGAUAUAGUGAUACAGUAUUAAAUGCACAGUCCACAGAUCUGCGAAUAAAACAUCAAUAUUUCAUCACAAAUACAGGUAAGCCAAUUAUUUUCCAUCUCUAGUCAUUUAUAAUGCUAAAAACAUCACAAUUUUGGUCUGCUCUGGUCAAAAAUAUUUGAUCAGGCUCCAUAUUUUUGCACACAUUCAAAAAGUUGAACGAAGCCAUUGUUGCUUGCACUGAUCUUAGAUCAGGCCCUUACGGCAUGAGGUCCACGUAUCAAAUAGACGCUGAAUAGAAACUGAAAUAUAAAAUCAAAUCAAACUUGCCAUUGUGCAGUUAAACUGAAACCAACCUUGCCAUAUUUGUGCAGGUAUAUUGUAAAGAGCAAACCCGGUUUGGGGAUUCAUAUGCUACAAACUGACCUAGCUGUCAACUUGCAGGUGAACGAUUUACGACAUUUACAAACCGCAACACAAAACAACAUUGACUGUUGAACUUGACUGAAAAAUAUGAGUGUAGCGAUUGAGAUCAAUCGUUCAAGAAUUAGUUCACACCAUAAAUUUACACAAGGAAUUUACAUUCUUGAAUCAAAUGUUGAUGAUGUUCUGUUUAAAAGUAUUUUACUUGCCAUGUCUUAAAAAUCUAGUGACUAAAACAGAAAAAUAUAAUGAAGAAAACAAUGUGUUGCCAUGUUACUAUAUUCUAUUGUUUAUAAUGAAAUUAAAUCAGUUAAUAUUUGGGACACAUCCAUCCAUAGGUGUCGAAAGAUAGCUAAGUGGGGGGACCAUAUUCAUAUAUUUGUGUUCACAGACCUUAAAAACAAUCGAUUUCAAAAGAAAUUAAUAAUGCAGAACACGAAUAUAUGAAUAUGGUCCCCUUCACUUAUCGAUAUUUCGAUGCCUAUGACAUCCACUAUGAACCAGAUUUUAGUUUAUGGCAACAAUUUAUAUAUUGUACAUGCAAGCGAGGUUCACCUCACAUUCACAUGCUAGUAUGGCUUGCGAGUAGUGAAACAUACUGUAGCGUAUUGUUUUGACCUUUGGGAACUAACUGCAGAACUAAUGACAUUUGACUAAAAGGAAACAAUAUGGUGUGUAUUGUAACACAUGGCUGAAGUGGAGAACAGGCCAUGGAAUAUAAUAUAUUUCCAGUAUAGUAAUAUUACUUUUUUAAAUAUUGUAGAUGGAACAAAAACUCAAAAUAAUAAUCUGUAAAACUAACCAUCUCUACCACCAUUUAAUUCCACCUGGCGAAUCAUGCUAGACUGUUUACUGCAUUCUCUACAUCACUGUGAAGAUGUUACUGGUUGAAAGAAUAUUUUACCUGUCUCAUUUGUAAAUAAGGAAAAGUCUGACCUUUAAAUUUAUACAACUGAAUGAUAUGCUGUAUGAGAAUUUCUAAUGGUUUGUCAACUGAUAAUGUAUCAAGUGGUGUCUACUAUUGGAUAAUGCUGAAAAGUAAAUAUUAGAAAAUAAAACUGUAUGAAUAAAUAAGAUUUCUAUCUGUCAGUGGCCAAUUAAAUAUUUCAGAUCAGGAGCAAAAACUGUAUGGAAUCAGAAGGAAUCUUAUGCACCUUUAAUGGUGUGCAUACAGUAUAUCAGGACGCUUUUCAAUUAAUAACAGAAGAUGUAUUCAUCACAAUUUUGGACUCAUGAGCUAACACCUGCUAUCCUGGAAUGAAUGGUGAAUGUACUGUAUCCACAGUGGAAAGAAUAAAUGACUUUGUUUCUCACGUUACAUGUAAUACCUUCUCAAUAUUAAAAUAUCGAACUUUCGAGGGUAAUGUCAAUGCUAAGACUAUUUAAGCUACUAUUUUUUAAGAUUAGUAUAAUAUUUUUAUUAUCAAGAUAAAUUGUCUAUUCGAGACCUCGAACUGUUGUAGUCUAGUUAUUGUCGUAUCUUAUACUAAACUACGUUGAACUUUAAUUUACCGAUGUACAAGAUGCGGAACACGGGAUAUAUUUGCUGUUGACAAGGUAUUCUGCCCAGGGGUGAAUUGGAGGGGCAGGGCUUUCUAUUUUUGAUGAUUGCAUAAUCUCUUAAAUCAUGUUUGAAAGUUUUUUGAAAUUAUGGUGGCGCCUCGUGGAAAACGGCACCCUAUUAAAGUGUAUCAAUAAUUAGCGAUAAUUUCAGUGAUUUCUCUUUUGUUGGCAUAUAAUCCACUAAUGCCGUACGCAAAUGCAUGUGCGCUUAGCGAACCUAUUUUUAUUCCAAAGGCUAACCACAUGUACGCAAUGCGUACCUAUUUUUUAAUUAUGAUGCAAAGCUGGACAUGCAUAAAAAGUCGAAAGCUGCACUUUUGCUCCAUUUAACCGUAUUUUACAUCCAAUACUUCACCGCACUAAGAUGACAAAACGUAG